rnacentral:ncRNA from 2 species
UUUCACUUGUCGGAGUGCCUUUGGGCUGAGACCGUUUAUUCGGGAUCCGUUGAACCUGAUCAGGUUAGAACCUGCGAAGGGAACAAGAGAAGAUACUUG